UCGUUAGCGUGAGCAGUUCACCUAGGAGAGCAAACUCCGAUUACAAACCCGGGCUGGUGGAGGUCGUUAGCGUAAGCAGUUCACCUAGGAGAGCAAACUCCGAUUACAAACCCGGGCUGGUGGAGGUCGUUAGCGUAAGGCAGUUCACCUAGGAGAAGGACAACUCUGAUCACAAACCCGGGACGGUGGAGAUCGUUAGCGUGAUGCAGUUCACCUAAGAGAAGGACAACUCUGACCACAAACCCGGGCAGGAGGGGGUCGUUAGCCGUGGUAGGCAGUUCUCCUAGGAGAAGGAAAACUCCGAAUUCAAACCAACCAACCAACACACACACACACACACACCGGGCAGGUGGGGCUCGUUAUAGGCGUCGUAGACAAUCCACCAAGGGGAAUCAACGAAAAAAGGGAUAAAAAUAAAGAAAAAGAAUAGAAACGAACGCAAGAAAAGAAUACUAUGAAAUAAGAAUAGGACAAAAAAGGAUAUUUUAAUAAAAACACCAGAAAAAAAGGAAAAUUUAGAAACGCAACAUCGAGAAAAGAAAAAACAUAACUCAGAUCAUCCAACUUUCGGCCCUAACAUCAUCAACAUCACCAAAAUUAUGGGUGAGUCUCUUCUGGGAGGAAAGCGGCUCACCCAGACCAACGAAGAACACCAAGAAAGGAUUAUAUAAAAAGGAGAAAACAACAACAACAUCGAAUAAGAAAA